rnacentral:rRNA from 1 species
CCUACGGGUGGCAGCAGUGGGGAAUAUUGGGCAAUGGGCGCAAGCCUGACCCAGCAACGCCGCGUGAAGGAAGAAGGCUUUCGGGUUGUAAACUUCUUUUGUCAGGGACGAAGCUAGUGACGGUACCUGACGCAUACGCUACCGCUAACGACGUGCCAGCAGCCGCGGUAAUACGUAGGAGGCAAGCGUUAUCCGGAUUUACUGGGUGUAAAGGGCGGGUAGGCGGGGCUGCAAGUCAGAUGUGAAAACCACGGGCUCAACCUGUGGCCUGCAUUUGAAACUGGAGUUCUUGAGUGCUGGAGAGGCAGACGGAAUUCCUAGUGUAGCGGUGAAAUGCGUAGAUAUUUGGAGGAACACCAGUGGCGAAGGCGGUCGGCUGGACAGCAACUGACGCUGAGGCGCGAAAGCGUGGGGAGCAAACAGGAUUAGAUACCCUUGUAGUC